AACGCACAUUGCGCCCCUUGGUAUUCCAUGGGGCAUGCCUGUUCGAGCGUCAUUUGUACCCUCAAGCUAUGCUUGGUGUUGGGUGAUUGUCCACUAGGACUCGCCUUAAAGACAUUGGCAGCCAGUAUUUUGGUAGAAAAGCGCAGCACAUUUUGCGAUUUUACUCCAGUAAUAUUAGCACCCAUUAAGCUCAAUUAUCACUUUUGACCUCGGAUCAGGUAGGGAUACCCGCUGAACUUAA
rnacentral:misc_RNA from 1 species